rnacentral:tRNA from 1 species
AAGGGUGUGGUCUAAUGGUAAGACAGCGGUCUCCAAAAUCGCUAAUUGAGGUUCGAAUCCUUGCGCCUUUG